GUAGCCAAUACCCAGAUCAGCAUCGGGUUGGACAUGAUGCUGUAGCCAAUACCCAGAUCAGCAUCUGGUUGGACAUGAGGCUGUAGCCAAUACCCAGAUCAGCAUCUGGUUGGACAUGAGGCUGUAGCCAAUACCCAGAUCAGCAUCGGGUUGGACAUGAUGCUGUAGCCAAUACCCAAAUCAGCAUCGGGUUGGACAUGAUGCUGUAGCCAAUACCCAGAUCAGCAUCUGGUUGGACAUGAGGCUGUAGCCAAUACCCAGAUCAGCAUCUGGUUGGACAUGAGGCUGUAGCCAAUACCCAGAUCAGCAUCUGGUUGGACAUGAGGCUGUCAGCAUCGGGUUGGACAUGAUGCUGUAGCCAAUACCCAGAUCAGCAUCGGGUUGGACAUGAGGCUGUCAGCAUCGGGUUGGACAUGAUGCUGUAGCCAAUACCCAGAUCAGCAUCUGGUUGGACAUGAUGCUGUAGCCAAUACCCAGAUCAGCAUCGGGUUGGACAUGAGGCUGUAGCCAAUACCCAGAUCAGCAUCGGGUUGGACAUGAGGCUGUAGCCAAUACCCAGAUCAGCAUCGGGUUGGACAUGAUGCUGUAGCCAAUACCCAGAUCAGCAUCUGGUUGGACAUGAGGCUGUCAGCAUCUGGUUGGACAUGAUGCUGUAGCCAAUACCCAGAUCAGCAUCGGGUUGGACAUGAGGUUGUCAGCAUCUGGUUGGACAUGAUGCUGUAGCCAAUACCCAGAUCAGCAUCUGGUUGGACAUGAGGCUGUAGCCAAUACCCAGAUCAGCAUCUGGUUGGACAUGAGGCUGUCAGCAUCUGGUUGGACAUGAUGCUGUAGCCAAUACCCAGAUCAGCAUCUGGUUGGACAUGAGGCUGUAGCCAAUACCCAGAUCAGCAUCUGGUUGGACAUGAGGCUGUAGCCAAUACCCAGAUCAGCAUCGGGUUGGACAUGAGGCUGUAGCCAAUACCCAGAUCAGCAUCGGGUUGGACAUGAGGCUGUAGCCAAUACCCAGAUCAGCAUCUGGUUGGACAUGAGGCUGUAGCCAAUACCCAGAUCAGCAUCGGGUUGGACAUGAGGCUGUCAGCAUCGGGUUGGACAUGAGGCUGUAGCCAAUACCCAGAUCAGCAUCGGGUUGGACAUGAGGCUGUCAGCAUCGGGUUGGACAUGAGGCUGUAGCCAAUACCCAGAUCAGCAUCGGGUUGGACAUGAGGCUGUAGCCAAUACCCAGAUCAGCAUCGGGUUGGACAUGAGGCUGUAGCCAAUACCCAGAUCAGCAUCUGGUUGGACAUGAGGCUGUAGCCAAUACCCAGAUCAGCAUCUGGUUGGACAUGAGGCUGUAGCCAAUACCCAGAUCAGCAUCUGGUUGGACAUGAGGCUGUCAGCAUCUGGUUGGACAUGAGGCUGUAGCCAAUACCCAGAUCAGCAUCGGGUUGGACAUGAGGCUGUAGCCAAUACCCAGAUCAGCAUCGGGUUGGACAUGAUGCUGUAGCCAAUACCCAGAUCAGCAUCGGGUUGGACAUGAGGCUGUCAGCAUCUGGUUGGACAUGAGGCUGUAGCCAAUACCCAGAUCAGCAUCGGGUUGGACAUGAGGCUGUAGCCAAUACCCAGAUCAGCAUCUGGUUGGACAUGAGGCUGUAGCCAAUACCCAGAUCAGCAUCGGGUUGGACAUGAGGCUGUCAGCAUCGGGUUGGACAUGAGGCUGUAGCCAAUACCCAGAUCAGCAUCUGGUUGGACAUGAGGCUGUAGCCAAUACCCAGAUCAGCAUCUGGUUGGACAUGAGACUGUAGCCAAUACCCAGAUCAGCAUCGGGUUGGACAUGAGGCUGUAGCCAAUACCCAGAUCAGCAUCUGGUUGGACACGAGGCUGUAGCCAAUACCCAGAUCAGCAUCUGGUUGGACAUGAGGCUGUAGCCAAUACCCAGAUCAGCAUCUGGUUGGACAUGAGGCUGUCAGCAUCGGGUUGGACAUGAUGCUGUAGCCAAUACCCAGAUCAGCAUCUGGUUGGACAUGAGGCUGUAGCCAAUACCCAGAUCAGCAUCUGGUUGGACAUGAGGCUGUAGCCAAUACCCAGAUCAGCAUCUGGUUGGACAUGAGGCUGUCAGCAUCGGGUUGGACAUGAUGCUGUAGCCAAUACCCAGAUCACCUUCACAUGUCUGGGAUAUCGAGUCCAAGGAGCAGGUCCGGACCCUAACGGGUCAUGUGGGGACAGUGUACGCUCUAGCAGUCAUCUCUACACCAGACCAGACCAAGGUGUUCAGCGCCUCCUAUGACCGCUCACUCAGGGUGUGGAGCAUGGACAACAUGAUCUGUACCCAGACCCUCCUCAGACACCAGGGGAGUGUAACCGCCCUGGCCGUCAGCAGGGGGCGCCUGUUCUCUGGAGCUGUGGACAGCACCGUCAAGGUGUGGACAUGUUAGAGGAUGCUGAUUGGUUUGAGAGGUUGCUGUCGAGGAGAGCAGCUGAUUGGUUCCAACCUCAGUGGACCACCCUGUGUCAAACGGACCAUAUGAACUCUGACACACACACACACACACACACACACUGAUUGGUUCAUCAUCCUUGAGGAUCAUGACUGUUUUUAAUAUCUCUACUAUAUGAACUUUAACCCCUGAUGUGGGCAGGGUCAGAAGUGAUCACGACCUUCGUGUCCUUAGCCCAGUGCAUUAUGGGUGGAGCUGCCAUACCUUAGCUCUGCCCGCUGACGACACCAGCCCUCCCCUGAUUGGGACAAUUCCAGAACUGUGGACUGAAGACUUGUUAGCUCCCCAAGUUAAUGCCUUGGCUUCAGUUCAGUCCCCCGGGGGACUGGACCGGUACUGACCCGGUGACCGGACCGUUACUGACCCGGGGGACUGGACCGUUACUGACCCGGGGGACUGACCCGGGGGACUGGACCGUUACUGACCCGGGGGACUGACCCGGGGGACUGGACCGUUACUGACCCGGGGGACUGGACCGUUACUGACCCGGGGACUGGACCGGU